CUUCCGGCAAAGGGGCGUGUGCUGCUUCAGCUGCCACUCAGGACCUGGGACUCAGACUCCGGACCUGGGACGCUGGAUCUCCGCUCCUGGACUGGCUCUUUCUCUCAGCUGCCGGACCCCGAAUUUAAAUCAGUACAUCUGUCCUUCCCAGACCAUGAGAGGAUGGUUAACUUCUCUUUCCUGAUUCCGCCUCUCACUGCCUGUCACCACGAGUUAGUUCAGGUGCCAUCCAUUAGCUAGUGACCAAUGACAUCCAUUAUGCAUGGCUAUGAAUAUUUAUCUAGUGCCUUAUGCCUGUACCAGAGAGGAUAGGGAAAGAGGAGUUACAAAGAAGCUUUUCUUCCACACCAGAUGACCAGCUCAACUGAAGAAACUAAGUGGAUCCAUCUUCAGUUUCUUCCAUGUGACCAGAGAAGAUGGCUACUUGCAACCACAGCUUCACACCAUCCUGGUUUGAGAGCCAGUAGAAAGAAAGCAACAUUUUUCUCUAUACAUGUGUGUCUAUCCCAGGCAAGACUCUCCUUGGUCCUGUUCUCAAAAUAGGCUUCUGUUUAUACUCAGUGUGCCCAGGAGAAUGGAGUACUGAGGCUGACCAUUACUAAAGCAUAACUGAUAUCCCAUCAGAAGCAGAUAGAGUGCAGAAAGUAUUUUCCAAGGAAUCAGAGGACAGCAGGAGGUAAGUAUGCUAAACUAUAGAAAUGAUAGAUGCUAUAGUUUUUUACAUGAGUUGUCUUUCAUUAGAGCUCUUCUGAGACUAGAUAUCAAGGUAGCUUCCAAGCUCUCUGACAACCUUUGACAACAAUAUCCUACCAUGAUUUGAUCAGUAGAAUUGUUAAUUUUAAAUGUCAACUUGACUGGGCCAUAGGGUGCACAGAUAUUGGCCUAAACAUAUUCACUGAAUGAAAGCAGAUUGCCCUCCCCAAUGUCAGUGGGCCUCAUCCAAUCUGUUGAAGGCUGGAAUAGAACAAAAAGCAGAAUAAGAAAAAAUUCAUUCUUUCUGCUUGACUGUCUUUUAGCUGGGACAUCUCCUUCAGCCUUCAGUGCUUCUGGGUUCGUUGGAUCUCCUAGGUCUCCAGACUGCCAACUGCAGAUCUUGGGACUUCUUAGACUCCAUAAUCCCAUGAGCACUGCCCUACCCUCUAUGAAUAUGUGUAAUGUAUGUAUAGGCUUCCCAGCUGGCACUAGUGGUAAAGAACCUGCCUGCCAAUAUAAGAGACAUAAGAGAUCCAGGUUCAAUCCCUGGGUCCGGAA